rnacentral:rRNA from 1 species
AGAUUGAACGCUGGCGGCAUGCCUUACACAUGCAAGUCGAACGGCAGCACGGGAGCAAUCCUGGUGGCGAGUGGCGAACGGGUGAGUAAUAUAUCGGAACGUGCCCAGUCGUGGGGGAUAACGCAGUGAAGCUGUGCUAAUACCGCAUACGAUCUAUGGAUGAAAGCGGGGGACUCGCAAGAGCCUCGCGCAGUUGGAGCGGCCGAUAUCAGAUUACGC